CAUGCGAGUCGAACGGCUGCACGGGGAGCCAAUCUUGGUGGCGAGGGCCGAACGGGUGAGUAAAAUAUCGGAACGUGCCCUUUCGUGGGGGAUAACGUAUCGAAAGUUUCGCUAAUACCGCAUACGAUUUAUGGAUGAAAGCGGGGGAUCGCAAGACCUCACGCUAUUGGAGCGGCCGAUAUCUGAUUAGCUAGUUGGUGGGGUAAAGGCUCACCAAGGCGACGAUCGGUAGCUGGUCUGAGAGGACGACCAGCCACACUGGGACUGAGACACGGCCCAGACUCCUACGGGAGGCAGCAGUGGGGAAUUUUGGACAAUGGGCGCAAGCCUGAUCCAGCCAUGCCGCGUGCAGGAUGAAGGCCUUCGGGUUGUAAAGUGCUUUUGUCCGGAAGGAAAAGGUUUUACUUAAUAAGGGGAGCUCAUGACGGUACCGUAAGAAUAAGCUCCGGCUAACUACGUGCCAGCAGCCGCGGUAAUACGUAGGGUGCGAGCGUUAAUCGGAAUUACUGGGCGUAAAGCGUGCGCAGGCGGUUAUGUAAGUCAGAUGUGAAAUCCCCGGGCUCAACCUGGGAACUGCAUUAGAGACUGCAUAGCUGGAGUCGUGCAGAGGGGGAUGGAAUUCCGCGUGUAGCAGUGAAAUGCGUAGAUAUGCGGAGGAACACCCGAUGGCGAAGGCAGUCUCCUGGCCAUCACUGACGCUCAUGCACGAAA
rnacentral:rRNA from 1 species